UGUCGCCUGCAGGAUGGCGGCGAGCGCGGGACGCGGACGCUCUUUUCCUGCAGAUAUAACAUCGCUAACCUACAUGGAAUGUACGCUAUCGCUUCCAAAGUCGCUAGGUUAAAAUGAGUCUCAGUAAGUUCACUAGGUAUUAUGUUAUUGCUGAAUCUUUCUUUUUAAUCCACGAAGUGACAUAGGGUUAAUAAAAUAAAAGUCGUUAUAAGUUCGCUAAUUGUAAUAUUGAGACGUGGCGGCGCCCUGCGCGGACGCUCUUCCCGCAGAUAUAACAAUAGUCAGAUGUAGUCAACCAAGAUGGUGGACGCUACAAUGGUCAAGGUGUAGUCAACCCAGAGGUGGACGCUAUCACUUCCUGUCACUUCCGAAGUCGCUAGUAUAUGAAAGUCUUAGAAUGUGUGUGUGUGUGUGUGUCGCCUGCAGGAUGGCGGCGAGCGCGGGACACGGGCGCUCUUUUCCUGCAGAUAUAACAAUAAUUGCCAACCUAUAUGGAAUAUACGCUAUCACUUUCAAGGUAGCUAGGUUAAAAUGAGUGAAUGAGAGAAUGCUCCUCCCAACUUUAUGGUGCAUAAGGGUAAUAAAAUAAAAAUCGGUAUAAGUUCGCUAAUUGUAUAUUGUGACGUGGCGGCGCCCUGCGCGGACGCUCUUCCCGCAGAUAUAACAAUAGUCAAGAUGUAGAUCUAGCAUCGACCCAGACGCUGUCACUAGUAUACGAAAGUCUUAGUAUGUGUGUGUGUGUGUGUGUCGCCUGCAGGAUGGCGGCGAGCGCGCGGCGCGAGCGCUCUAUAACUACAUCUUAGCCCGGCUGCUUGUAAAUACACUGGUCUGCUCCUCGCAACUUUGGAAUGCAUAAGGGUAAUAAAAUAAAAGUCGUUAUAAGUUCGCUAAUUGUAUAUUGAGACGUGGCGGCGCCCUGCGCGGACGCUCUUCCCGCAGAUAUAACAAUAGUCAGAUGUAGUCAACCAAGGUGGUGGACGCUACAAUAGUUAAGGUGUAGUCAACAGAUGUGGACUGGUUUUAGAACACCAGUCGACCUAGACGGUGGACGCUAUCACUUCCCUAGGUAUACGAAAGUCUUAGUAAGUGUAUGUGGUGGGUGUCGCCUGCAGGAUGGCGACGAGCGCGGGACGCGGAUACUUUUCUACCAAACUAUCUACCUAAAAUAUACUAGAAAUCGAGUCCAUAUUCCUCUGUUCAAUUUUGGGGUUAUUGAAAUAAAAGUCGGUGUAAGUUCGCUAAUUGUAUAUUGAGACGUGGCGGCGCCCUGCGCGGACGCUCUUCCCGCAGAUAUAACAAUAGUCAGGUGUAGUCAACCUAGAUGGAGAUAUAACAAUAUGUAGUCAAGACAAGAUGUAGAUCUAGCAUCGACCCAGUCGCUGUCACUAGUAUACGAAAGUCUUAGUAUGUGUGUGUGUGUGUCAGUGUGUGGCCUGCAGGAUGGCGGCGAGCGCGCGGCGCGAGCGCUCUAUAACUACAUCUUAGCCCGGCUGCUUGUAAAUACACUGGUCUGCUCCUCGCAACUUUGGAAUGCAUAAGGGUAAUAAAAUAAAAGUCGGUGUAAGUUCGCUAAUUGUAUAUUGAGACGUGGCGGCGCCCUGCGCGGCGCGGGCGCGGACGCUCUUCCCGCAGAUAUAACAAUAGUCAGGUGUAGUCAACCAAGGUGGUGGACGCUACAAUAGUUAAGGUGUAGUCAACAGAUGUGGACUGGUUUUAGAACACCAGUCGACCUAGACGGUGGACGCUAUCACUUCCCCUAGGUAUACAAAAGUCUUAGUAUGUGUGUGUGUGUGUGUGUGAGUCGCCUGCAGGAUGGCGGCGAGCGCGGGACGCGGACGCUCUUUUCCUGCAGAUAUAACAAUAAUUGCCAACCUAGAUGGAAUGUAAUGUACGCUAUCGCUUCCAAAGUCGCUAGGUUAAAAUGAGUCUCAGUAUAAGUUCACGAAUACUGGCACAAGGUUCAAAAAAUAAAAGUCAAUGUAAGUUCGCUAAUUGUAUAUUGAGACGUGGCAGCGCCCUGCGCGUCGCGGGCGCGGACGCUCUUCCCGCAGAUAUAACAAUAGUCAGGUGUAGUCAACCUAGAUGGAGAUAU